GACGAACGCUGGCGGCGUGCCUAAUACAUGCAAGUCGAACGCAGUGGGGACGGGUGAGUAACACGUGGGUAACCUCCCAUCAGAGGGGAUAACACUUGGAAACAGGUGCUAACCCGCUACUGAUGGAUGGACCCGCGGGGCAUUAGCUAGUUGGUGGGGUAACGGCUCACCAAGGCCACGAUGCAUAGCCGGCCUGAUAGGAUGAUCAGCCACACUGGGACUGAGACACGGCCCAGACUCCUACGGGAGGCAGCAGUAGGGAAUCUUGGACAAUGGACGAAAGUCUGACCGAGCAACGCCGCGUGAGUGAAGAAGGUUUUCGGGUCGUAAAACUCUGUUGUUGGAGAAGCGGUAUCUAACCAGAAAGCCACGGCUAACUACGUGCCAGCCGCCGCGGUAAUUC
rnacentral:rRNA from 1 species